UAUAUAUAUAUAUAUAUAUAGAGAGAGAGAGAGAGAGAGAGAGAGAGAGAGAGAGAGAGAGAGAGAGAGAGUUAGGCUGGUAUACUAUCGGUACGUAGCACGUAGGUCUCCGUGCUACCAAGUUGUUUUCAAUGAUGUGGCUUCCAAAUCGACGAUCGGUUCUGUUAGACUUGAUAUACACUAUUAAAAGUAUUUAAAAACUAAAUUUCAUAAUUUGUUGACAUCUUUUGGCUAGUGAUCAAGUAUUUGAAAACUAAAUUUCAUAAUUUGUUGACAUCUUUUGGCUAGUGAUAAAAAGGUCUCAAAAUUGACAAUUUUAAUGGUAGAUAUGAUGCGUUUGUGAAUUUAACGGUGUAAAACAAUCGAAAUCUGAUAAAAUUUUUAUAAAAAAUUCUUUUCACUAUUUAGAGUAAGAUCAAUAUCUCUGAUCUUAAAUUCAAGUCUUUUAUCAUCGUUUUUUAUAAUAUUUUUAUUUUCAGCCAUUCAUUUUUAGACUGCUCGUUUGAUAGGUAAAUUAUGUCGAAAAAUUAUGAAAUUUAGUUUUCAAAUACUUUCAAUAGUGUAAAUCACAUCUUAGAUUAGUGGUGAAGCUGAGUACUUGGAAUUAAUUAAGUACUA
rnacentral:lncRNA from 1 species